UGUGUGUGCAGGAAAGUCCAAGAGUUCCUGAAGAUGUGUAACUACUGGAACGUCCGCUCACCGUCGGUGGAGUAUAGACCGGUAAGGCGCAUGGGAAAACCGGCAGCAUCUACCAAAGCUGAUCAGCCCACCUGCGCCCUGUGACCCGCUUCUCUCUAGCAGAACGUGCACAUCAGCCCUGUUCAUAAUGGCUUCAAAACCGCCUCCAUCUAUGGCAGGCUGCAUACAUACAUCGUGUGUGUUCACAACACAGAAACCGCCACAGCAAGGAGAAUGGACGAUCCACAGCUCUUCACAGCAGGAAUGAAUCCUGCAAGAUGAGGAAACCAAGGCUGUGGAAGGACAGUGACUUGCCCAAGGUUACCGAGAGGAAGAUGGCAGAGCAGAAACCUGACCACCGGUUCCUGAUUCUGGAAUUAGCAGUUAGGUUACCAUCAGUCACCCCCUCCGGAGGGAGGGGUUUCCAUUGCCCCAAGUGUAAAACGACGGUUCUGAUGUUUGACACCUGAAUGGAUUCGCGUAACCACCACCACCACCACAAUCAGGACCCAGAACAGCUCUGCCACCUGCAAAAUCUCCUUUGAGCUCUUUAUAGUUGCACAAUCCCCCAUCCCUAAAUCUGGUGAUCCCUGAUCCGUCCUCCACCACCAUGUUUUUGAUAGAUACAGUAUUAAAGUCACAGAUCAAC